GAUGAACGCUGGCGGCGUGCCUAAUACAUGCAAGUCGAGCGAACAGACGAGGAGCUUGCUCCUCUGACGUUAGCGGCGGACGGGUGAGUAACACGUGGAUAACCUACCUAUAAGACUGGGAUAACUUCGGGAAACCGGAGCUAAUACCGGAUAAUAUAUUGAACCGCAUGGUUCAAUAGUGAAAGACGGUUUUGCUGUCACUUAUAGAUGGAUCCGCGCCGCAUUAGCUAGUUGGUAAGGUAACGGCUUACCAAGGCAACGAUGCGUAGCCGACCUGAGGGGGUGAUCGGCCACACUGGCACUGAGACACGGUCCAGACUCCUACGGGAGGCAGCAGUAGGGAAUCUUCCGCAAUGGGCGAAAGCCUGACGGAGCAACGCCGCGUGAGUGAUGAAGGUCUUCGGAUCGUAAAACUCUGUUAUUAGGGAAGAACAAAUGUGUAAGUAACUAUGCACGUCUUGACGGUACCUAAUCAGAAAGCCACGGCUAACUACGUG
rnacentral:rRNA from 1 species